rnacentral:rRNA from 1 species
GUGGUACCUGCCCAGUGAUAAUAAUGAAAAAUUUUAAUAUGAUUUAAUAUUUAUUAAAUGGAUGCGGUAACUCUGACCGUAAUAAAGUAGCAUAAUUAAUUACCAUUUAAUUGGUGGAGAGUAAGAAUGGUAGCACGAACUUCUCAUUGUCUUAAUUAAAAAUUUUUAAAAUUGAAUUAAUAGUGAAGAUGCUAUUUAUAAUCGUAAGACGAAAAGACCCUAUAGAGCUUUACUAUAAAUUUUAAUUGGGAAUAAAAUAACCUUAUUUAAACAAUUUAAAAUUUGGUAGUUUAGUUGGGGCGACUAUCUUUUAAAAAUAACAAAGAUAAGUAAAAUUAAUAUUAUAAUUUAUUGUAUAAUUAAUAAAUUUAACAAUUAUUAAAGUAGGCUAUAAUGACCCGUUAAUUUAGAUAAAAAUAAUUAACGAUUAAUAAAUAAAAGCUACCUUAGGGAUAACAGGAUAAUUUUGUUUUAGAGUUCUUAUCAWUUACAAAGUUUGUCACCUCUAUGUUGAAUUAAGAUAUCCUAAUAAUGCAAAAGUUAUUAAAGGUAGGUCUGUUCNACCUUUAAAAUCU